rnacentral:ribozyme from 1 species
UGCAAAAAAUAAGUCCUAUCCCUACCUCCUCGUGGUACUGGCCAAGGUACAAGUAACCUUGGGGAAGAUCGUGUAACCAACCCCCGGUGGGAACUUUGGUCGUAUGCUGACAGGGAAGG